CUCUAGACUUUAUGAGGCUUUAGGCGAAACUCAAACAUGAGGCCCCACUAACAAAAAAGUGGCACAUAUACACAUUGAUGCACAGUUUACCUGUGUAUGUGCCUGAGAGUGUUUCUGACAGAGAAUAUCCUUGUGUGUGAAUGUAUGUCUCUGUGAGCAUGUUUGCGUUUUUUUCUGAGACUCUAUGUGUAUGGGGUAGCUGCUUGAAGUGUGUUGUGUGUAUGGGGGGGGUG